rnacentral:lncRNA from 1 species
AGCCCCGGGCUCGGGCCCCGCGGAGCUGCGCCUCCAACCCGGAAGAACAGCCCCAACCCGGCGGCGGCGGAGGCCACGUGACGGCGGCGCAGCCCCCAACCCCCCCCCCCAAGCCCCCUCCUCCGCCCGGAGCCCCCUCCCCACCAGGCCCUUAUGCCCUCCGGGCCCCCAGAGCCUACCGCCCUCCCUCCGGACAAGAAAGCGACCGCACCAAACGCCCCCUUAGCGCGCCAAGGCUAGUUACCCCAAAGGGCCCUCCACUCCUGGGUGGCAACCAAAACCUCUUUGUCUUGGGCUCGACCCGAGGCCCCCUGCCCCGCCUCCGCGCCUUCCCUCGGCGCGUCCUUGUCAAUCAAACCUGGAGCCCAACGCGGCCGCUGAAGUUUUCAAGGCUACAUUUGCUCUCUCCCCUGGAGAGCCAGUUACAAUCCCAAGUGUGAUUUCCUCUCUAGUGUCCCACCAGAGCAAGUAAGAGGGUA